rnacentral:lncRNA from 1 species
UGGCCCCAACUCUGGUAAGCAACAAAACCCUUUUAUUUCUAAUUAUAUGAAUUGUAUCAUUUUUUAUAAUAUUUUUUUUAUUGAUUUGGAGUCUGAGUUUUUCCUUUUAUGUAUUUUACAAUUUUGAUUAGAAGUGUGAAGGGUAUAUUUUCAUAUUGAAUGUAGUUAUGGAAUAUGGUCAUGAUUAAUAAUGGUUCUUUUUUAAAGAAAUAAAAACUUUCAACGGAAAAAACAAUUGAACAUUUAAAUUACAAACUUUAGUUCAUCUAUUCUGAAAUUGCAGUACCAUGACUAAUUUUCUAUUCAUGGUGUUAGAACAGCGACUACUAUAUCAUUAAGUUUUACAUUAGACGAGUUUUACAAAUUUCGAGAGCAAAAUUUAAUUUAGGAUGUGAGUCUAAAGAUGAAGGAGCUUGAUGAUGGGUGGGGUGACCACACCAACUUGUUGAGGUAUAUUCAUUAUUAGAGCAAUUGGAUUUAUUAUACUUCAAAGUUACAAACCGACUUCACCACUUGUCCAUAGCUAUGAGUACAUAAUUUUUGUGCUUAACAAACCGAAUUCUUAUUUAUUUGAAGAAUAUUGUGUAUAAACUCCAUUCUUUCUGAUUAUUAUCAAAUUUUAAUUUAUGUAUUUCAUUACUUAAUUUAAAAAAUCUUGUGUAUAAUUUCAACUCUUGUUGGUUGAUGUACAAUAAAGUACUUUACCUGAAUUGAGAUCUUUAAUUGUGUGUCUUUAUAUAUAACAAAAUAAUUAAUCAGUUUUUGG